GACAGAGGUGCCGAGCGUUAGGCGGAAUCACUGGGCUUAAAGCGUGUGUAGGCGGACCGUUAAGUACCUUGUGAAAUCCCCCGGCUCAACCGGGGAACGGCUGGGUAUACUGGCGGUCUUGAGCCAUCCAGGGGCAGUCGGAACAGACGGUGGAGCGGUGAAAUGCGUAGAUAUCGUCUGGAACGCCGAAGGUGAAAACAGACUGCUGGGGAUGAGCUGACGCUGAGACACGAAGCCAGGGGAGCGAACAGG
rnacentral:rRNA from 1 species